CAGCCGCCGCGGGAAUACGGAGGGAGCUAGCGUUGUUCGGAAUUACUGGGCGUAAAGCGCACGUAGGCGGCUUGGUAAGUUAGAGGUGAAAGCCUGGAGCUCAACUCCAGAAUUGCCUUUAAGACUGCCGAGCUAGCAGGUGAGAGAGGUAAGUGGAAUUCCGAGUGUAGAGGUGAAAUUCGUAGAUAUUCGGAAGAACACCGGUGGCGAAGGCGGCAACCUGGUCCAUAACUGACGCUGAGGCGCGAAAGCGUUGGGAGCAAACAGGAUUAGAUACCCCAGUAGUCCCUGUCUCUUAUAC
rnacentral:rRNA from 1 species